rnacentral:rRNA from 1 species
AGUAGACUUAUAUAAAGUCGAAUCAUUCGUGAUUCCAUUCUAAGCGGUGGAUCACUCGGCUCGU